UACGUAGGGGGCAAGCGUUGUCCGGAUUUAUUGGGCGUAAAGAGCGUGUAGGCGGCCAUACAGGUCAGCUGUGAAAACUCGAGGCUCAACCUCGAGACGUCGGUUGAAACCGUCUGGCUAGAGUCCGGAAGAGGAGAGUGGAAUUCCCGGUGUAGCGGUGAAAUGCGCAGAUAUCGGGAAGAACACCCGUGGCGAAGGCGGCUCUCUGGGACGGUACUGACGCUGAGACGCGAAAAGCGUGAGGAGCGAACAGG
rnacentral:rRNA from 1 species